rnacentral:misc_RNA from 1 species
AUUCUUGGAAGAAAAAAGAGUACAAAGGUGAUGAAAAUCGAUGGACAAACGAUGAAAUUCAAAACCCCAGUUUAUGCAAAUGAGGUUUUGAAAAAUUAUCCAUCCAUGGUAUUAUUAGAAUCGGAAGAAGUAAAGCAUUUCGGGGUUCGAGCAAAGCCAUUAGAGCCUCAACAAGAGUUAAAGCCCAAAAGGCUUUAUUUUCUGGUUGAA